rnacentral:rRNA from 1 species
UACAGAGGUCUCAAGCGUUGUUCGGAUUCAUUGGGCGUAAAGGGUGCGUAGGCGGCGCGGUAAGUCGGGUGUGAAAUUUCGGAGCUUAACUCCGAAACUGCAUUCGAUACUGCUGUGCUUGAGGACUGGAGAGGAGACUGGAAUUUACGGUGUAGCGGUGAAAUGCGUAGAUAUCGUAAGGAAGACCAGUGGCGAAGGCGGGUCUCUGGACAGUUCCUGACACUGAGGCACGAAGGCCAGGGGAGCAAACGGG